rnacentral:rRNA from 1 species
CCUACGGGAGGCUGCAGUGGGGAAUAUUGGACAAUGGGGGGAACCCUGAUCCAGCGACGCCGCGUGAGUGAAGAAGUAUUUCGGUAUGUAAAGCUCUAUCAGCAGGGAAGAAAGAAAUGACGGUACCUGACUAAGAAGCCCCGGCUAACUACGUGCCAGCAGCCGCGGUAAUACGUAGGGGGCAAGCGUUAUCCGGAUUUACUGGGUGUAAAGGGAGCGUAGACGGCGAUGCAAGUCUGAAGUGAAAGGCGGGGGCCUAACCUCCGGACUGCUUUGGAAACUGUAUGGCUGGAGUGCAGGAGAGGUAAGUGGAAUUCCUAGUGUAGCGGUGAAAUGCGUAGAUAUUAGGAGGAACACCAGUGGCGAAGGCGGCUUACUGGACUGUAACUGACGUUGAGGCUCGAAAGCGUGGGGAGCAAACAGGAUUAGAUACCCUGGUAGUC